rnacentral:rRNA from 1 species
CCUACGGGGGGCUGCAGUCGAGAAUCAUUCACAAUGGGGGAAACCCUGAUGGUGCGACGCCGCGUGGGGGAAUGAAGGUCUUCGGAUUGUAAACCUCUGUCAUGUGGGAGCAAAUUAAAAAGAUAGUACCACAAGAGGAAGAGACGGCUAACUCUGUGCCAGCAGCCGCGGUAAUACAGAGGUCUCAAGCGUUGUUCGGAUUCACUGGGCGUAAAGCGUGCGUAGGCUGUUUCGUAAGUCGUGUGUGAAAGGCGGGGGCUCAACCCGCGGACUGCACAUGAUACUGGGAGACUAGAGUAAUGGAGGGGGAGCCGGAAUUCGUGGUGUAGCAGUGAAAUGCGUAGAUAUCGAGAAGAACACUCGUGGCGAAGGCGGGUUCCUGGACAUUAACUGACGCUGAGGCACGAAGGCCAGGGGAGCGAAAGGGAUUAGAUACCCGGGUAGUC